UGGUCAAGUUAUUAAGGGUGCAGGGCGGAUGCCUUGGCACUAGGAGCCGAUGAAGGACGUGAUAAGCUGCGAUAAGCUUCGGGGAGUUGCACGUAAACUUUGAUCCGAAGAUUUCCGAAUGAGGAAACUCACUUAGAGUAAUGUCUAAGUAUCAUUAAGUGAAUACAUAGCUUAAUGAGGGGAACUCAGGGAACUGAAACAUCUAAGUACC
rnacentral:rRNA from 1 species